rnacentral:rRNA from 1 species
CUAUACAUGCAAGUUGAACGGGAUUAAGUAGCAAUACUUAUGAGAGUAGCGCACGGGUGCGUAACGCGUAUGCAAUCUACCUUUAACUGGGGAAUAGCCCAAAGAAAUUUGGAUUAAUACCGCAUAACAUUAUUGAAUGGCAUCAUUUAAUAAUCAAAACUACGGUGGUUAAAGAUGAGCAUGCGUGACAUUAGCUAGUUGGUGAGGUAAUGGCUCACCAAGGCUCCGAUGUCUAGGGGGUCUGAGAGGAUGAUCCCCCACACUGGUACUGAGACACGGACCAGACUCCUACGGGAGGCAGCAGUAAGGAAUAUUGGUCAAUGGACGCAAGUCUGAACCAGCCAUGCCGCGUGCAGGAUGACUGCCCUAUGGGUUGUAAACUGCUUUUGUACGGGAAGAAACCCCUCUACGUGUAGAGGGUUGACGGUACCGUAAGAAUAAGGAUCGGCUAACUCCGUGCCAGCAGCCGCGGUAAUACGGAGGAUCCAAGCGUUAUCCGGAUUUAUUGGGUUUAAAGGGUGCGUAGGCGGCCUAUUAAGUCAGUGGUGAAAGCCUGGAGCUUAACUCCAGAACUGCCAUUGAUACUGAUGGGCUUGAGUAUAGUUGAGGUGGGCGGAAUGUGUCAUGUAGCGGUGAAGUGCUUAGAUAUGACACAGAACACCGAUUGCGAAGGCAGCUCGCUAAACUAUAACUGACGCUGAGGCACGAAAGCGUGGGUAGCAAACAGGAUUAGAUACCCUGGUAGUCCACGCCCUAAACGUUGAUUACUCGAUGUGUGCGAUACACUGUACGCGUCUAAGCGAAAGCAUUAAGUAAUCCACCUGGGGAGUACGGUCGCAAGACUGAAACUCAAAGGAAUUGACGGGGGCCCGCACAAGCGGAGGAGCAUGUGGUUUAAUUCGAUGAUACGCGAGGAACCUUACCCGGGC